rnacentral:lncRNA from 13 species
AUGUGUCCCUUCUCAUUUCCCCCCAAUUCUAGAGGUCUCGGCCGGGUGUGCUCAAGCCCCUCCCCCGCGCGAGGCGGGCAGCGCGCCCUGCUCACCGUGGUCCGCGGCGGCGGCGGCGCAGGCGGGAGCCGGCGGCGGGUGGCCCCGGGCCGCCGGGCGGCUCCUGCGGUCCGGGCGGCAGUUGGUCCAGGAGUUUCGGAUGCUCGGGCUCGGCUCGGCAGAGAGCGUCAGCGUGAAUGGGAGCAAACGACCAGGGCUGUGCGUGGCGCGUGUUUAUGUCUGGCAGGAGAGGAACACUCAUCAGUCUAUGCUUCCUUGGCAAUCCUAACUUCUCAUCAGAGGAUCCUUUGCUCUGUAGCUGAUGGAUUGUGAGAUUGUCACAGUAAUUUUGCCUACUGCUACAGGAUUACACUUGGGAUUGGGAGAAACUGGUUCCAGAAACUGGGAUGCAAUGCUCUGGAAAGGGCUUUUACCUCACCUAGGGUUGGAAGAUUAGAUGAAGGUGCGUGAGCAUUUUUAUGCUGCUUUUCAACUUCUACAGUUGACCUGGCUUUUCUGCUAGGUGAAGUGUUGAGGUGGGUGGGUGUGGUCUAACAUUGUAAAAAACAUUUUGGUAUUGUCGUAAAUUAAACAAACUUAACACCAGACAAAAUGGUACACCCGAACAACCUACUUGAAAUACAGAUUUGAAAACAGUCACAGAUUUAUUGGUUUGGUUUAGUCACCUGUGCCAAACAAAGUACACAGCAAUGAAAACAUUUGGUUAAUUAGAGUGUUCAUUUGGUAAAGAAUUUUUUUCUCCUGAACAUCAGCAUACUCUCUUGUCUCAUAAAGAUGCAGCCAUUAAAUGUUAUUUAGGCCAGUCAUGCUAGCUUAUGUCUAUAAUCCCAGCACUUUGGGAGGAGAAGGUGGGAAGAUUGCUUAAGGCCAAAAGUUUGAGAUCAGCCUAGGCAGCAUAACAAGACUCCUUCUCUACAAAAAAAUAGAAAAAAAUAUUAGCCGGGCAGGGUAGUGUAUGCCUGUAGUCCCAUCUACUCUGGAGGCUGAGCCAGGAGUAUUCCUUGAGCCCAGGAGUUUGAAGUUACAGUGAGUCAUGAUUGCACAACUGCACUGCAGCCUGAGCAGCAGAGCGGGGCUCUGUCUCCAAAAUAUUUUUAAAAAAAUUAUUUAUUUUACAGUUCCAAAUGGAGGCUGUCCUCUUAGUAUAAGUAUGGAAAUGUUUGUCAUUAUGAAGAAAUUGAGGGUAGCUUACUUACUUCUAAAAUCUAUCUUUUUUUUCUUUUAACCAGCCAAUUACUGACUUUCAGUUAGUUUAGUAAAUAUUCAUCAAAAGGGCGUUUCAGGCCAGGCACAGUGGCUCACACUUGUAAUCUCAGCAGUUUGGGAUGCUGAGGCAGAAGAACUGCUUGAGCCCAGGAAUUUGAGGCCAGCCUGGGCAGCAUAGCGAGACCUCAUCUCUACAAAAAAAUUUAAAAAUAAUAUGGGCUUGGUGUCACAUGCCUGUACUCCCAGCUACUCAGGAGGCUGAGGUGGAAGGACUGUUUGAGCCCAGGAGGUCAAGGCUGCAGUGAGCUGUGAUUGCACCACCCUCAAACAGGGCAACAGAACAACAACCUGUCUCAAAAACAAUUUAAAAAGGAAUAGGACCCUUCUAUGUGCCAACAUGGGAAACCUGAAGAUGAAUAAAAGAAGUCUCUGCUCACA